UACGUAGGGUCCAAGCGUUAAUCGGAAUUACUGGGCGUAAAGCGUGCGCAGGCGGUUGUGCAAGACCGAUGUGAAAUCCCCGAGCUUAACUUGGGAAUUGCAUUGGUGACUGCAUGGCUAGAGUGUGUCAGAGGGGGGUAGAAUUCCACGUGUAGCAGUGAAAUGCGUAGAGAUGUGGAGGAAUACCGAUGGCGAAGGCAGCCCCCUGGGAUAACACUGACGCUCAUGCACGAAAGCGUGGGGAGCAAACGGG
rnacentral:rRNA from 1 species